rnacentral:rRNA from 1 species
GAUGAACGCUGGCGGCGUGCCUAAUACAUGCAAGUCGAGCGAAUGGAUUAAGAGCUUGCUCUUAUGAAGUUAGCGGCGGACGGGUGAGUAACACGUGGGUAACCUGCCCAUAAGACUGGGAUAACUCCGGGAAACCGGGUAUAAUACCGGAUAACAUUUUGAACCGCAUGGUUCGAAAUUGAAAGGCGGCUUCGGCUGUCAUUUCUGGAUGGACCAGCGUCGCAUUAGCUAGUUGGUGAGGUAACGGCUCACCAAGGCAACGAUGCGUAGCCGACCUGAGAGGGUGAUCGGCCACACUGGGACUGAGACACGGCCCAGACUCCUACGGGAGGCAGCAGUAGGGAAUCUUCCGCAAUGGACGAAAGUCUGACGGAGCAACGCCGCGUGAGUGAUGAAGGCUUUCGGGUCGUAAAACUCUGUUGUUAGGGAAGAACAAGUGCUAGUUGAAUAAGCUGGCACCUUGACGGUACCUAACCAGAAAGCCACGGCUAACUACGUGCCAGCCGCCGCAGUAA